rnacentral:rRNA from 1 species
AUGUUCAUGAUAGCUGGCCGCUAUGGAAGAGGAACAUCAGAAGAACCAAGGCAAACAAAUCAUGAUAACACAGGGCGAGUUUUGGUUGAACAAAAUCAGGAGCCUUCCCCGUUUGUUGACAACACAAAUAUACAAGGACUGCAUGAUUUGAUCUGGGAAACUGAUGAACCUGAUUGUGCACAGAAGCAGCCUUCAGACAAUGAACUUGACAGUGAUAGUGAAUCAGAUCAUAACCUUGGACUGCAUCAAAGAGAAGGUGAUAUGGAUGUUGAUAUUGUGGAACAACAACAUAACAAUGAGACGGGAGUUCAAGUUGAACAACUUUCACAAGAUGACAUCCUCAUAUUUCUUGAAAAUGAAAGCAUAAAAAAUGCUCAGACUUGCAGCCAUGAAGUUCGUAGCCAUCAUGUGCCAACUAUUGACAUGGUUUUUGACAACCAAGAAGCAGCUUAUAGCUUCUACAACGAGUAUGCAAGCAUAUGUGGUUUCUCUGUAAAGAGGGCAGCAUCCUUUUGUGCAAAAAAGGAAGGUGGCAAUGCACUAACAAGAAUCACUUUGAAGUGUAACCGAUCUGGACGUGCAAUUGGAGAGGAAGAAAAGGAAGCAAGGUUGAAAAAACGACGAGAAACUAGACAGGCAAAAACAGGCCAGGUCCCGCAUGAGAACCCCAGGAAAAAGAAAACAAACACCAUUGAGAUAACUGGUUGUAAGGCUCAGCUUAUUAUCACAAAGAAGGCAGACAAGUGGGUUGUUACAACAAUCAACCUCGAGCAUAACCAUGAGUUGAGCCCUCAUACAGAGUCAAAGUACCUCCGUUCACAUAACUACAUGACAGAAGAGGAGAAGAUCCUUAUCCGUACAUUCAAUGCUGUGAAGCUACCAACAAGGAAAAUAAUGACCAUCCUGAGCUUCUUGAGAGGUGGCAACACUCCUUACACUAAGAAACACGUCAGCAAUGUGAGGACAUCAAUUGGCAAAGAAACUAACCAGAAUGAUAUGAUGCAAGUACUGACUUACUUCAGGAAAAGGCAGGCGGAAGAUCCAAGGUUCUAUUAUGCAUUUAAGACAGUUAAAGUUUCUGAUGAGGCAAGCAAAGUGUUAUGA